rnacentral:rRNA from 1 species
UACGGAGGGUGCAAGCGUUGUCCGGAUUCAUUGGGCGUAAAGGGCGCGUAGGCGGCGCGGUAAGUCGGGUGUGAAAUCUUGGAGCUUAACUCCGGAACUGCAUUCGAUACUGCCGUGCUUGAGGACUGGAGAGGAGACUGGAAUUUACGGUGUAGCGGUGAAAUGCGUAGAUAUCGUAAGGAAGACCAGUGGCGAAGGCGGGUCUCUGGACAGUUACUGACGCUGAGGCGCGAAGGCCAGGGGAGCAAACGGG